GGUUGCUCAUGACUGUAGUACCAGCAAUCCAGAAACCAAGGCAGGAGAAUUGCGAUGAAUUGCAGGCCAUCCUGGGUUACACAGGGUCAUGCAUUGCAGGCUUGUCUCAAACUCUCUAUGCAAAUGAGGAUGACCUUGAACUUCUUAUUCUCCUUCCUUUGCUUCCCAACGCUGGGAUCCCAGGCUUCAGCAUGGCAAGAAGGUGUUGGCGGCAGUGGAAGGAUGGCCGAGCUUCUCCCAUGGUGGUGAAUCAGGAAGCAGAGAUCAAGGCUGGAACAUCAGCAGGGCUCUAACCUUCAAAGGGCUGCUGAGAUGACCUGAAGAGCUGAUUCAAACUCCAGAAUCUACAAGGUGGAAGUUGAAAAUCGACUCCCCAGAGUUGUCCUCUGGACUCCACACACACACACACACACACACACACACACACACACACACACACACACACCUAAUAAACACAUACUUGUUUUUUAAAAAAUGCAAUUUCAAUUUCUGUAGCGUCUGCUUUUCCUUGCCUUCUCAGCUCAGUGACUGGCGCUGUGCUGGUGGAGGCUGACUGAAACCCACCUUCCUCUCUCAUAUCAUCCCAAGUUCACACUCCCGCUGAUUUACUUAUGUUCUGUACCAAACAAGCUCAAAUAAUUUCCUUCAGGGCUUCAGGUUGAUUUUUCUCCUAGGUCUCUCCCUCCCUCCUUUCAUCGUUCUAUCCCUCUCUUCUUUCUCUCUCUUC
rnacentral:lncRNA from 1 species